AAGGUUUCCGUAGGUGAACCUGCGGAAGGAUCAUUCGCACGCAUCCAAUAGAUUCACUGUGAACUCGAACUCGUGAGGGUCUGGGUUGGGGUGGAGAUAGCAUCAAUGCCCUUAUGCAGGCGCUCGAGGGCAGUAAGCCAGGAUUGGACUGUCUUCCUUUCCUGUCCCUGCUGCCAUGUCUUCAAUUUGCUACAAAGCAUUUAUUGUUCCAUUUGUUCUCGAGUGGUUAUCCACUUGUUUAUUGUAUUACAACUUUCAGCGACGGAUGUCUCGGCUCGAACAACGAUGAAGGGCGCAGCGAAGUGUGAUAAGCAUUGUGAAUUGCAGAAUUCCGUGAACCAAUAGGGACUUGAACGUAUACUGCGCUUUCGGGAUAUCCCUGAAAGCAUGCCUGCUUCAGUGUCUAUUCUUUUUCAUUCCAGCGAUCUGGGUUUCCAGCGUCGCUUGUGUGUYUUUGUGCGUUAGAGCGCUCGCCUCGUGCAGCCUUUGACGCAUUUAAYGCACAGGGACCCCUCGCACAAGCAACUAGAAGAGCCUCUUGGCGUUUCCUUGUUGUCUUGCCUGCGAGGAGGGCCUUGCCAUCCAGUGCCUAGCGCACUCCAACCAAGACAUGAAGUUAGGUCAGCAAACCCG
rnacentral:rRNA from 1 species